ACAGAUUUCAAAAAGCAAUUCGACAUGUAAUGACAUCUUUGGAAAUUCAUUAAUCUUCUGGUCCUUGAUGCUGUCCAAAAUAUGGGGUAAAAGGCCAGUUUGUAUCUAAAAUUUGGAAAGAGUUUAUUUCUUGGCAUCGUGUGAGUGUACUGCGGGAUAACGUUUGGUCUAUGUGUGUAACAAAUCGAGAGCUUAGCGAGCAAAAGAAAAUUUUGGGCAAGUCGGAUGGUUGAGAUAUCCUGUUCGUCCUCUAAACUCUGAAGCUUUUAACAUAAUCCGAGGCGUCCAGCUAGUCAAUGAAAAUGAACCAAAUCAAAAUCUUGACACGAAUAAGAGGAAAACCAGAAGUUGCGGAACAUUCGGUCUCUUCGAUCCGUUUUUAUUUCCUUGAAGUUUCCUUACGUUCGAGUACAUAGGAAAGCAGGAAUCAAGAAUGUGAUGAUGGUGGUAUCACUAGCUGCACGACAGUGUAGGCAGAGGCGGCGGCGGCGGUGGUGGCAGGUGGAUUGGUGUAGGAGGCCGCCAUUUGUAACUGACAGGGACAUUUGCCUUGGGAGGUGGUGGAGGAGAUCUUCUGGCGAGCCGGUCUGGCAAUGCCACAUUCGACCGAUGAUCCCUUGAACCUUCAUCAGACGAAGCUGCGGGUACAAGCAGCUGGAGGCUCAAGAUGAGAGCAAGAGACUUUGGAGGAAUGGCGACCGUGGUGUUGG
rnacentral:lncRNA from 1 species